CGACCCCUAAGGCGAGGCCGAAAGGCGUAGUCGAUGGGAAACGGGUUAAUAUUCCCGUACUUGGUGUUACUGCGAAGGGGGGACGGAGAAGGCUAUGUUGGCCGGGCGACGGUUGUCCCGGUUUAAGCGUGUAGGUGUGUGUUCCAGGUAAAUCCGGUUCACUUUAACACUGAGGCGUGACGACGAGGCACUACGGUGCUGAAGCAACAAAUGCCCUGCUUCCAGGAAAAGCCUCUAAGCAUCAGGUAACAUCAAAUCGUACCCCAAACCGACACAGGUGGUCAGGUAGAGAAUACCAAGGCGCUUGAGAGAACUCGGGUGAAGGAACUAGGCAAAAUGGUGCCGUAACUUCGGGAGAAGGCACGCUGACACGUAGGUGAAGUGAUUUACUCAUGGAGCUGAAGUCAGUCGAAGAUACCAGCUGGCUGCAACUGUUUAUUAAAAACACAGCACUGUGCAAACACGAAAGUGGACGUAUACGGUGUGACGCCUGCCCGGUGCCGGAAGGUUAAUUGAUGGGGUCAGCGCAAGCGAAGCUCCUGAUCGAAGCCCCGGUAAACGGCGGCCGUAACUAUAACGGUCCUAAGGUAGCGAAAUUCCUUGUCGGGUAAGUUCCGACCUGCACGAAUGGCGUAAUGAUGGCCAGGCUGUCUCCACCCGAGACUCAGUGAAAUUGAACUCGCUGUGAAGAUGCAGUGUACCCGCGGCAAGACGGAAAGACCCCGUGAACCUUUACUAUAGCUUGACACUGAACAUUGAGCCUUGAUGUGUAGGAUAGGUGGGAGGCUUUGAAGUGUGGACGCCAGUCUGCAUGGAGCCGACCUUGAAAUACCACCCUUUAAUGUUUGAUGUUCUAACGUGGACCCGUAAUCCGGGUUGCGGACAGUGUCUGGUGGGUAGUUUGACUGGGGCGGUCUCCUCCUAAAGAGUAACGGAGGAGCACGAAGGUUGGCUAAUCCUGGUCGGACAUCAGGAGGUUAGUGCAAUGGCAUAAGCCAGCUUGACUGCGAGCGUGACGGCGCGAGCAGGUGCGAAAGCAGGUCAUAGUGAUCCGGUGGUUCUGAAUGGAAGGGCCAUCGCUCAACGGAUAAAAGGUACUCCGGGGAUAACAGGCUGAUACCGCCCAAGAGUUCAUAUCGACGGCGGUGUUUGGCACCUCGAUGUCGGCUCAUCACAUCCUGGGGCUGAAGUAGGUCCCAAGGGUAUGGCUGUUCGCCAUUUAAAGUGGUACGCGAGCUGGGUUUAGAACGUCGUGAGACAGUUCGGUCCCUAUCUGCCGUGGGCGC
rnacentral:rRNA from 1 species